AGUGUAGCUGCUUAAAAGGCUUAAAAGGCACUUUCUCUCUUUAUAUAAGAACGCAAACACAUGAUCUGCUGGAAUCAUGGUGAAGUCUCUCUCAUUUGAUUUCAUCUCCUCUUAUUGGUUUCAGGUUGUGACAACGACAAUGGUGGUGAUUGUAAGCUUGUGGUUAUUGGUGGACGACGAAGGUUGUGAAUGUGAAGACAAUAAAUAGUGGUGAUGGUGGCAGUCAACAAUGGUGGGCGAUGGUAGUCUAGCCGAUGAUCAUGGUGGUGGACUUCGGUGAUUGUGGAUGAUGUAAAGAUGAUGGACAAAAGGGGUGAUGGGAGGUUGUUGCAAAUACCAUAGUGGUGGCUAGUGGGUGAUAAUGAUUGUGGAGGAUGUGAAGAUGGUGGAUAGUGGUGGUGAUGGUGGCCGUCGACGUUGAGGUGGUGGUCUUCGGUAUAAAUAACUCACCAAGGUUUGUUUUAUCUGGUAUCAAACGGGAGCUACGAGCAAAUAGAACAUCGAAAGCUUGACGGAGCAAUGCCGUGUGGAGGUAGAAGGCCCACGGGUCGUGAACUUCUUUAAGAGUCGUUUAUCAAAUGCUUAUCUGUUAUAUGUUUAUCAAGUCAUAUUAUUGUACUAGAUGAACAUGACAAGGACUGGGAAACUCACCUUAUAAGAAUGAUGUCAAUGACCAAGAGCCUUAUCGGGUGACGACUCUUACAUGGUGUCGUUUUGAUAACUAAUAAAUGAUAGUGUUAACUUUGA